rnacentral:rRNA from 1 species
ACGAGGGGGGCAAGCGUUGUUCGGAUUUAUUGGGCGUAAAGGGUGCGUAGGCGGUUUGGCAAGUCUUGUGUGAAAUCUUCGGGCUCAACCCGAAGCCUGCACAAGAAACUGCCGGGCUUGAGUAUGGGAGAGGUGAGUGGAAUUUCCGGUGUAGCGGUGAAAUGCGUAGAUAUCGGAAGGAACACCUGUGGCGAAAGCGGCUCACUGGACCAUAACUGACGCUGAGGCACGAAAGCUAGGGGAGCAAACAGGAUUAGAUACCCUGGUAGUCCUAGCCCUAAACGAUGAUUGCUUGAUGUGGCAGGUACCCAAUCCUGCCGUGUCGAAGCUAACGCGAUAAGCAAUCCGCCUGGGGAGUACGGUCGCAAGGCUG